GUUCGCUCUUUUGCAUCUUCUAAUUUGGCAGCAUGGAUACGCUAUUUUUUAUGGAAAAUAUAUGUGGAAUAAAAGUCUCUCCAAUCUAGGUAUAGAAUGAUGCUUGGAACACAAUGGAUACUUCAGGGAAUUUGACUUGAAAUGACCCCAAAUGGAAUCCUCCACUCCUUGGAUCAAUCAAGAUGCUAUGGCUCACGACUGCAAUGAAAGUUGAGGGGAGUAUGAGCAAUGGCCACUACAAUAAUCAUUGCAGGUUGGCAACUUUUUGGAACAAAAUUGUUGAGCUGUAAUGGCUGUUGCUAUCUUGAUAGUUCAUUUUUCAACAUCAAUCCAUUUAAAGCAUCAUAUUUUGAAGAUUAAGACAUUUUCAACACUUAUCUUUUAUAUCUCCUCAUUAUCCUGGACUCUAUUAUUCUAUUUUAUAUGUUAUUUUAAUUGCAUUUUUA
rnacentral:lncRNA from 1 species